UACGUAGGGUGCGAGCGUUGUCCGGAAUUAUUGGGCGUAAAGGGCUUGUAGGCGGUUUGUCGCGUCUGCCGUGAAAAUUCGAGGCUCAACCUCGAACUUGCGGAUGGGUACGGGCAGACUAGAGUGUGGUAGGGGAGACUGGAAUUCCUGGUGUAGCGGUGAAAUGCGCAGAUAUCAGGAGGAACACCGAUGGCGAAGGCAGGUCUCUGGGCCACUACUGACGCUGAGAAGCGAAAGCAUGGGGAGCGAACAGG
rnacentral:rRNA from 1 species